AAUAGAUACCCCGGUAGUCCAUGCCGUAAACGUUGGGCGCUAGAUGUGGGGACCGUUCCACGGUUUCCGUGUCGCAGCUAACGCAUUAAGCGCCCCGCCUGGGGAGUACGGCCGCAAGGCUAAAACUCAAAGGAAUUGACGGGGGCCCGCACAAGCGGCGGAGCAUGCGGAUUAAUUCGAUGCAACGCGAAGAACCUUACCAAGGCUUGACAUAUACGAGAACGCUCUAGAAAUAGAGAACUCUUUGGACACUCGUAUACAGGUGGUGCAUGGUUGUCGUCAGCUCGUGUCGUGAGAUGUUGGGUUAAGUCCCGCAACGAGCGCAACCCUCGUUCUAUGUUGCCAGCGGGUUCGGCCGGGAACUCAUAGGAGACUGCCGGGGUCAACUCGGAGGAAGGUGGGGAUGACGUCAAAUCAUCAUGCCCCUUAUGUCUUGGGCUUCACGCAUGCUACAAUGGCCGGUACAAAGGGCUGCAAUACCGUAAGGUGGAGCGAAUCCCAAAAAGCCGGUCUCAGUUCGGAUUGAGGUCUGCAACUCGACU
rnacentral:rRNA from 1 species